GAAUUGUCACAAAUGGAAGAUUCAGCGACAACUUCAGUGUCUUCGCAAUCUUUUACACAAUAUCUGCCUAACUCGCCUCUAAAAGUUCAAUCACAGCAAUUGGACAUUACUUUUGUGACUCAACCUGUCAAUUUGAAGAACACAAAAAUUAACAAACAUU